GUUUAGAAAGUGUGCUGAAAUUCUCGCAGAGAUCCCUGGAACUGCCAUGGAGCCACUUAGGAUGUGCACCACUGAGCCAGUGUCUGUGAGGUGAGAAAACAGACACUGAAGAAAACAAGUGAUUCGUAAAGAGAUUAUACGUCUUGAAGUGUAUGUUCGACCCAGGCCUCAGGACAAAGAUACUCAACAGUUUGGGAUACACCAUGAAGACAGAAGAUAUCAUAAAGUUGAGAGAUGAAGCUGAUCUCACACUGGCAUUCCUGGCUUCUGGUUUAAGAAAUUGUGUGUCUAAGGCUUGCAAAGUCCUACCUGAAGAUGUGGCACUGGCCAUGAUAAUAAAAAUGGUAUCAGCUACAUGUAUUUUGUUAUAUGUUAUCGUGACUCUAAUCUGGCCCAUGAAUUAAUUGAAAUUAUACUGGUAGGAGACUGAAGACAGGGGUACCUCCAUGGCCAUCUUAAAACCAGAUCAUUUGCUCCCAUGAGCAUCUAGCAACUACUAUUAGGUAUGUCCCAGGUAAUCAGGGUAAGUUGGCAAAGGUGCUAUGACAAAGUCUUUAGGAAUAUCACUUUAGAAUAUGUUAACUUGGGCAGGCU